rnacentral:lncRNA from 1 species
CCGCCCCCAGGGUGCGCAACAGCCACGUUAAGGAGGAUCCUGCGCCCGGCCCGCCUGGUGCGCACAGCCCCGCCCUGAACCCUGGGCAGCGCUGACACUGAGCUGGGCUGGUGCGAGACCUGGGGCGGGGCCACUGCACCCAGCACCCUGCCCUGACUGUAAAGUCAGGCGGCCUGCUCCUGUUCCGCCUCCUACCGGCCCGCCUGUUUUUUCGCCUGUGGCUUAGGAACUCCAGCCUCACCUGAUCUCCGAAUGGACCUCAGCUGCUCCUGCGCCACUGGUAAAGGAUGCCUGGUUUCGGGUCUUAGGAUCUUCAUUUUCAUACCACAGAAUAGAACAUCCCUGGGGCAGGAGGCAGGUGCAUUUUGAGCUCUUCCUAAAGUGGACUCCUUUGCUUUGCACUUCUCGAGCUUUCUCCCCGCCAAGAGCCUUCAUCACCACUUAGAACAUUGCCAUCUUCCUAGUGCCUCCGAUUUCUGAGGCGAGAGGACUGAGGCUGAAAACUGCCCGGCUGCAGGUCACCCUCAAGGCCAAAGGUGGCUCCUGCACCUGUGCCAGCUCCUGCAAAUGCAAAGAGUACAAAUGCACCUCCUGCAAGAAGAGUGAGUGUGGGGC